rnacentral:misc_RNA from 1 species
AAGUCGUAACAAGGUUUCCGUAGGUGAACCUGCGGAAGGAUCAUUACCGAGUUCGUUUGGGUAAACCGAACACUCUUCACCCUUGCUUAAACGUCAAGUUGCUUCGGCAGGCCUACAGUCGGCUUCUAGCGGGCUAGCUCCUGCCGAAGAUAUAUACUCUUUAUAUUUGUUGUUACGUCUCAAAAAAUAAACAAAAACUUUCAACAACGGAUCUCUUGGUUCUG